rnacentral:miRNA from 1 species
AGCUUUUGACCAUCUUUCUG